GACAGAGGCCUCGAGCGUUAGGCGGAAUCACUGGGCUUAAAGCGUGUGUAGGCGGAUCGUUAAGUGCCUUGUGAAAUCCCACGGCUCAACCGUGGAACUGCUUGGCAUACUGGCGGUCUUGAGCAACCUAGGGGCGAGCGGAACAAAUGGUGGAGCGGUGAAAUGCGUAGAUAUCAUUUGGAACGCCAAUGGUGAAAACAGCUCGCUGGGGGUUUGCUGACGCUGAGACACGAAAGCCAGGGGAGCAAACGGG
rnacentral:rRNA from 1 species